rnacentral:rRNA from 1 species
CUGGAAACGGGGACUAAUACCGGAUAGGUAAUCGGAAGGCAUCUUCUGGUUAUUAAAGGUUAAAAACACUGGUGGAUGGGCUUAUGGCGCAUUAGUUAGUUGGUGAGGUAACGGCCCACCAAGACGAUGAUGCGUAGCCGGCCUGAGAGGGUGAACGGCCACAUUGGGACUGAGACACGGCCCAGACUCCUACGGGAGGCAGCAGUAGGGAAUUUUCGGCAAUGGGGGCAGCCCUGACCGAGCAACGCCGCGUGAGUGAAGACGGCCUUCGGGUUGUAAAGCUCUGUUGUAAGGGAAGAACGGUAGAUAGAGAAUAUCUAAGUGA